rnacentral:lncRNA from 1 species
GUGCUGUUAUAAUAUCACUAGCCUAUCAAAGCUGUGAAAUUUAAAUCCCCUUAAAAAUUAGGAUUAUUUAUGUGCCUGAAAUGACACAGUUUAUUGGAUUAGAACAACCAUUCCAAAUAUGAACCUGAUUUGAAUAAUAAUUGCCAAUUCCUUGUUAUUGAAAAGACAGCCUCAUUUCUCUGUUGGUUUGGGUCUAACAUUUUUCCCCUUUUCUUUUUUAUAAACAUUUCUCUUUUAACAUCUCUCCAGUGCUUGUACUAAGACUAAUCCAAAACCGGAAAGGGAAACAGUUUCAAUCAGCAGGUGAUGGAACAGCAGCUUCUGUCUGUGUUCAAACCUCAAGGACACAGGUACUGACAAACACUGCACCUUCCAAGCAAGCCCUCCUCUCCUUACCAAGUGUCCGAAAUCCAGGCCAGCACAAGGAACACCACUGAGCGACUGGGACAGCCCAACCUUUGUGGCAGCUGAGGGGCACAGAAUCCCUUGUGAGGAGGAUGAGACACUUCAUGCCCAAGGAAAAAUCAGCAAGUCUCUUGGGAGGGCACAGACUGCAAAUCGUAGCACACAAAGGUAUGAGGCAGCUAAUGAAGUGAAGCAAGCCUGUUUUCAGAACACCAGAACUGUUAAAUAGGGGUUAGCACCUCUGUUUCAGGAUUUUCUAUCAGAAAAAGGCUGAGAUCUGCUCCUUUGGAAGAAUAAUUCCUCACUGACCCAGAGCGAGACAGUGAGUUCAACGAACAAAAUGAAAAGGACCAAGCCUGCAAACCUGACUGGUAUACACAAUGUCUUUUCCUCUACAAGAUUGAAUAGACAAAAGGUAUAACGGCUGGAAACUGGUCCCUAUUUCACCUCUAAAUCCCUCCUUUAGGUGCCUUCAGCCCACUGGAGCCUACUUGAGGACCCAAAGAGCCCAGAGGAGAUGUUUGGUGUCAGAUCCUUGCUACAACUGUCCAAGAACAAGGAGAAAGUGGUGAGUUUCUAAACAGACAACUUAUAACAUGUAAACUCAUUGUCACAAAAAUGGCAAGAAUAAACUGGGAAGUGUUGUGAAUGGAAAUGAGCUA